rnacentral:rRNA from 1 species
UACGGGGGGGGCAAGCGUUGUUCGGAAUCACUGGGCGUAAAGGGCGCGUAGGCGGCGCCCCAAGUCAACGGUGAAAGCUCGACGCUCAACGUCGAGUCGGCCGUCGAUACUGGGGGGCUCGAGCACUGUAGAGGCCAAUGGAAUUCCGGGUGUAGCGGUGGAAUGCGUAGAGAUCCGGAAGAACACCGGUGGCGAAGGCGGUUGGCUGGGCAGUUGCUGACACUGAGGCGCGAAAGCGUGGGGAGCGAACGAG